rnacentral:rRNA from 1 species
UACGGGGGGGGCAAGCGUUGUUCGGAAUUACUGGGCGUAAAGCGCGCGUAGGCGGGGGAUUAAGUGAGAGGUGAAAGGCUGAGGCUCAACCUCAUGCAGUGCCUCUCAUACUGGUUCUCUUGAGGGCGGUAGGGAGAAGUGGAAUGGCUGGUGUAGCGGUGAAAUGCGUAGAUAUCAGGAGGAACACCGAUGGCGAAGGCAGGUCUCUGGGCUGACACUGACGCUCAUGCACGAAAGCGUGGGGAGCAAACAGG